GCGGCUGUAGCUCAGCUGGAUAGAGUGUUUGGCUACGAACCAAAAGGUCGGGGGUUCGAAUCCCUCCAGCCGUACCA
rnacentral:tRNA from 11 species